GAACUUGUAAUUAUUGAUUAGAAAAGAAGGGGCACUUAGUUCUUACUGAUUGGUAUGUCAUACUUAAACAGAAUGAAAUGAACUUAUGAAUGUAAAAUUUUGUCUUUUCAGGUGUGAAGGACAUGUCAGUUGUCUAGGUCGUUGGGGAACUGCCAGUUGUAUGUGGUAAGGAGGUCCGCAUGGUUGUGGAUGAGACCCAGUCACUAGACGAGGCCUUUUCUGCUGACCAGGUGUCAAAUGAGGUUCUCUUGGUGCCAGCCUAUAGGACAUACUUUGGGGAUGGGAAGAUCUUCAGUUUCCAGAGUUGGACCAGUGGAGGUUCUGCUACCAGAUAUAGUUCUUUCCAAGGUUGCAUGUUGACUGCAACAGACUACUAACACAGGUGUUGGAUGCCACAGCUGAAACUGCUCUAAAGGUAAUAGACACAUUUUUUACAUACCAUUAAAAUUGUUUAAGCUAAAUCUCUUAGCUACUGAGUGUUAAAUUCUUUUUCUGAAUGAAAACUGAGUUGUCUUUUGCAACCGGAAUUACAGAGAUAAUGUUUUUAUUGCAAUAUUUUUAUGUUUGUGUUGUAUAGAUUUUUUUUUUCUAUUUUCAGAGGGUUCUGCAGUUGGGAGAGCUGAUAGAUUGUUUUAUGUUUUGUACAUAUUUUAAUGUUAUGACAUGUUUUAAAAUCUGAAUAAAUACCUUUUUUUUAAUAUAUAUGUUACGAUUUAAUUGCGUGCGUAGGUGGCAUUGUGGGAAGGAGGGCGGGACGCGCGGGUUUUUUCCAUUGCUGUGGUGGAAUUUUGGAAGGUGUUUAUUUUUGUAGGUUAUUUGUUCGGAGGCAGUUGGUUUUUGUUUGGAGAUGGUUUGCUUCUGUUCUUUUUAGGUUGCAUGUUGACUGCAACAGACCACUAACAGAGGUGUUGGAUGCCACAGCUGACACUGCUCUAAAGAGUGAUCUGCAGUUGGGAGACCUGAUAGUUUGUUUUCAGUUUUGUACAUAUUUUAAUGUUAUGACAUGUUUUAAAAUCUGAAUAAAAUGAAUAAAUACCAUUUUUUAUAUACGUUAUGAUUUAAUUGCGUGCUAGGCGGCAUUGUGGGAACGAGGGCGGGACGCGCGUUUUUUUUUCUACUGCUGUGUUUG